rnacentral:antisense_RNA from 1 species
GCGUCAUACAUCUGCAUCCGGAAGGAAAGGCGAGGCUCUGCAUCUAGAUUUACUUCGUUCUCUUUCGUCUCCGCUUUUUUCCCCACAUUUCCUUGCGCCCCUGGCCCUUGGGCGACAAAAAGGGGAAGCCAGGGCUGGCCUGAGGAACGGAGAGGGCACAUGGCCUAACCACGAGUGGAGCUUCUGCUCCGCCCGAAGGGAUGCGCUGGAGCGGCCUCUUCCUUCCGUCACGGUCUUUCUUUGCCAACUAGUAGGUGGAGACUGGACCUCAGAGAGGGAGUGGGUGCCCUGAGAACUCACAGCUGGCGGACAGCGGAAAGGGCAGAACCCGGACCAAGGUGAGGACAGCGGAACUGAAGUUCUGCUGGUUACCUCUCCUGCCCUCCGCUGGCCGCACUGGAGAAGACAGCCCCUCCCUCCUGCUCUGACCUGACAGUGUUCAUCCAUCGCCCUCUAUUAGGGAAGAACAACAUCAAGCUGGCUAGCAAGGAACUGUAUACAGGGUCCAGCUGGGUAUCACACUGGAUCUCACCCAAAGCUGAGAUGUGAUCCAGCUCAGUAUCACAAAGCAGAACGAAAAGGAUGUGUUCGGGCUGAGAGGCAAUACAUUGGCUCCGGCAGGACGGGUGACUUCUUCCGAGUCUGGCUUCUGCAGCACACAGGGCUUCGCCAGCACCCAGCUCCUGCAGCAUGGACAGCCCGUGUGACAGCAGGCGCCCACAGCCUGCAAAGCUUCUCCAGUGCCGCCUCCUCAGUGAACCGCAAGCAGCGGCACCUAGCAGCUUUCUCCACCACGCUCUUCAGGUAGUUCUGUAGCAGUGCGUUUCUCAUGAGACACUUCCCUGUGAGCAGUUUUUUCUACCCUUGAGGAUGGAUUUCCAGCAAGUUCUGCCCAUGUGGUACCACAGCCACUUCUCUGCCAUUCAGUGAAACUGCAGAUGUGCCCUCUUCACGGUCUGGAUCUAAGCCCAGGGACCAGGAAACCUCUUGCUUGAGUGCUGGAACUCAGGUCAGAAGGUAUGGCUGCUACUAUCUGCUGUGACCAAAGAGAAUCAGAGUUCUCUUUACUUCUUACCAGCCAACCUCUUGAAAAUGCCUUUUUUUUUUUUUUUUUUUUUUUUGAGACGGAGUCUCGCUCUGUUGCCCAGGCUGGAGUGCAGUGGCUCACUGCAACCUCCGCCUCCUGGGUUCAAGUGAUUCUCCUGCCUCAGCCUCCCGAGUAGGUGGGAUUACAGGCAUGUGCCACCACGCCCAGCUAAUUUUGUAUUUUUAGUAGUGACGGGGUUUCUCCAUGUGGUCAGGUUGGUCUCAAACUCUCGACCUCAGGUGAUCCACCUGCCUCAGCCUCCCAAAGUGCUGGGAUUACAGACGUUAGCCACAGCGCCGGGUCUAAGCCCUUUAUAGCUUAAUUCUAUAUAUUAAAUUUUCCCAGUUCAAAUUACUGUGUGCUUCCCUUCUCCUGAUUGGACCUUGCUUGAUACAAAAUUAGUACAAGGAGUGGUCUCAAGAGAUAGAUGCACAAAGAAGGGAUAUGGGGACGGAUUUGGGUAUUUGGGCUUGAGUGCAGACUGAGCUCCUUGACAAUGAGAAAUAGGAUAU